rnacentral:tRNA from 1 species
CAUCUUUGAGAAAUUAUCGUAAUACUUAAGUAUUGGCAGAGUUUAACAUCUCCUCAAAGCCU